rnacentral:misc_RNA from 1 species
AGUUCAUAGAGAUAGCAGAGCAUAAAUUUCUAUGACUCCUGUCUGGUUGGUCGUAUAAAUUAAACUGUGGAUGAACAUUUAUCGAAAAGAGUUCACUUUCUUUUAAUUAUUUUUAAGGCAAAAAUAGCAUUAGCAAGAGGAGCUCAGGGCGAGCAGACAUUUGCAAAAAAUGGAGGCCACAGCUAUGGACGAGUUUCAGAAUGUAAAGUUGUCUUUGAGAGAAUUCAGCAAAGCAAAGUUCAAGAUGCUUGAGGAUAUUCGAGCCAUUCAAAUCGAAAUAAAGGUUGUUCAACAACGUUCAUUCCGUCUGAGAGAUGAACUUCGAGAAGGUCGAACUCGUUACGAAGAAUUUCUUUCCCACUGCAAUGAACUUCGCAAAAGACUACUUCAACUCUCAAGUUACCAGCUGGAAAUCCCAUGUCUACAGUCCCGUUACAACGAAUUGGCCGCAAAUCUCAAUUCCAAGAACCAAGAAAGCGAGAAGCAUCUGAAUUGCCUCAAGGCAGAUUUUGCCAGGCAGCGAAACGAGACAGCAAGCGAAUAUGCAAGAAAGGUGGAAGAGAAGCGGCAGCAACUGGAGCGUGAACUGUCGUCCUUUCGUUCUGAUUUAGCUGCUCACGACGAGGAGCAAAUACUGCGGGAGCAAGCGCGAAGGCAAAACGAUGAACUAGAAUGUUUACGGGCUACCAUCGUUAUAGAAAUGGAACAAGAGAAAGAAACUGCUCACCACAAUUGUGAACUGAGAGUGCAGAGCUUAAGGACUACAAUUCAGGAGCUUGAAAGCAAAAUCAACAAGAUCCGCCAAGGCUUUUGACGUCUAUUCACGCUUCAACCUGUUACUUAACACCUAAUUUUUACUUCGAUAAAUUAUUUGGCCACGAGACUGGAUAGAGUCUAUUUUGUAACACUAAAACAAGUCUUACAGGAUAUUUGUGGUAUUCAUAGUUGCGUUCUCCCAAAAAAGCUUCCUUUCUGUAUCCUUCUUCUCGUUUAAUCACUUCAGAAAUAACCACCAUGAGGCCACGAAAACCGCCGUAAAGGCUCUGAGACUAAUGGAAACAAAUGUGACGACCCCAGGAAAGUAAUUACAACACGAAAUAAUUGGUUAGCCCACACAGUUAUAAAGACAAUAGGCAAUAUUUGUCGGAGCGCGAUGGGCUG